CCUACGGGAGGCAGCAGUGAGGAAUAUUGGUCAAUGGACGAGAGUCUGAACCAGCAAAGUAGCGUGAAGGAUGACUGCCCUAUGGGUUGUAAACUUCUUUUAUAAAGGAAUAAAACGAGGCACGUGUGCCUUUUUGCAUGUACUUUAUGAAUAAGGAUCGGCUAACUCCGUGACAGCAGCCGCGGUAAUACGGAGGAUCCGAGCGUUGUCCGGUUUUAUUGGGUGUAAAGGGAGCGUAGAGGGUUUGUUAAGUCAGUUGUGAAAGUUUGCGGCUCAACCGUAAAAUUGCAAUUGAUACUGGCAGUCUUGAGUACAGUUGAGGUAGGCGGAAUUCGUGGUGUAGCGGUGAAAUGCUUAGAUAUCACGAAGAACCCCGAUUGCGAAGGCAGCUUACUAAACUGUAACUGACGUUGAGGCUCGAAAGUGUGGGUAUCAAACAGGAUUAGAUACCCCGGUAGUC
rnacentral:rRNA from 1 species